AUGGUCAUCUGCCGCUCUGCGUCCUGCAACCACCGCGACGACAGCCUCGUCCCCAGAGGCGGGGACUUCCCUGAAGGUGAACCUAGUGCACGCGGCGCCGGUACCGUUGAUGCGGGUCGGGCGGCGGUCAGAUCUGCCACGGCCAGGACAGACGUCCUCUUCCUCCCUAUCCAGCUUCCUCCCAUGACUGAGAAGAGGGCUUCGUCAAGGAUCCCAUGA
rnacentral:rRNA from 1 species